rnacentral:rRNA from 1 species
AGUGACUAAAUUGACUGCUAUAAAAGCAUGAACUUAGUUAAACGGCCGCGGAAUCCUAACUGUGACAAUGUAGCGCAAUCAAUUGCCACUUAAUUGGUGGAUAGUAUGAACGGUUCAACGAAUAUUUCACUGUCUCUAAUAAAGAUCUAAAAAAAUUAAUAUAGUAGUGAAGAAGCUACUUAAAAAGGUAAGACGAAAAGACCCUAUAGAGCUUAACUAUAAUUUCUAUCACUUUAUAGAGAUUGGUAGUUUAGUUGGGGCGACUACUUUCUAAAAUAAACGAAAGUAAGCAAUGUAUAAACUAUUCUUACUGUUUAACACACUAGUUUAACAGUUACUAAAGUAGGCUUAAUUGACCUGAUAGUUCUUCAAAUAAAGACUAACGAUCACUGAAUAAAAGCUACCUUAGGGAUAACAGGGAAAUUCUGUAAUAGAGAUCCGAUCGACCACAGAGCUUACCACCUCUAUGUUGAAUUAGGAUGUCCAAGUUGUGCAGCAGCAACUAAGGGUAGGUCUGUUCGACCUUUAAAAUCCUACAUGAUUUGAG